rnacentral:hammerhead_ribozyme from 1 species
AUCCAGCUGACAAAUCCCAAAUAGGACGAAACACGCGUCCUGGAU